GAUGAACGCUGGCGGCGUGCCUAAUACAUGCAAGUCGAGCGAACGGACGAGAAGCUUGCUUCUCUGAUGUUAGCGGCGGACGGGUGAGUAACACGUGGAUAACCUACCUAUAAGACUGGGAUAACUUCGGGAAACCGGAGCUAAUACCGGAUAAUAUUUUGAACCGCAUGGUUCAAAAGUGAAAGACGGUCUUGCUGUCACUUAUAGAUGGAUCCGCGCUGCAUUAGCUAGUUGGUAAGGUAACGGCUUACCAAGGCAACGAUGCAUAGCCGACCUGAGAGGGUGAUCGGCCACACUGGAACUGAGGCACGGUCCAGACUCCUACGGGAGGCAGCAGUAGGGAAUCUUCCGCAAUGGGCGAAAGCCUGACGGAGCAACGCCGCGUGAGUGAUGAAGGUCUUCGGAUCGUAAAACUCUGUUAUUAGGGAAGAACAUAUGUGUAAGUAACUGUGCACAUCUUGGCGGUACCUAAUCAGAAAGCCACGGCUAACUACGUG
rnacentral:rRNA from 1 species